AAAUAAAGCGAAAUAUUACCCUAAAUGUAGCAUAUAUUUACAUAAUCAUUGUAAUAUUGCCUAAAACCACUGCAAUGUAAACGGAUCGAACACCCGACCGCAGUUGGGAGACAUUUUGUUUGACGGCAGUUGUUUGCAAUUUGCUCCGGGAGUGAUUUCAUUUAAAAAAAUCAAUUUAUCUCUGUGAGUGGUAGCAAUAAACCGUGGCACCAGAUUAUCUAGUACAGUAGAGUGGCAUUAAUGUAUCCGUGCGAGAAAAUGAAUAUAAAAUCAAUCAGAUCGGACGAAUGAAACACGACUUCGUCAUCUAGCAAGCAUAUCAUUUUGGCGUCCCGCAUCAAUCAGUUGGAAUGGGAUGAUCAGUUAGAACAGAAAUGAAAAAAAAACGGCAGGGCUCCAUUCGAAAUCGGAAAACGAAAUACCCACAGCAAAGUGGUAACAUGGCGGAAAUAUCUACGGAAAGAUGCGCGAAGUGAUCUUACUGUGAGUAGAAUUUGGUAGUGAUGCAUGUAAGAGAUACCAGGGCUAUCUACGCCACUAAUAAAUAAUUGUCAAAACACAGGGCUAUACUGCUCAUACAUGAAUAUCUGUUCUAUGUAGAUAUGAACUAAUACAAACGUAGGACUGUCAUGCUUUUAUUGACAGCUUUGUCACGUUAAUUGGUAGCGAAUGAAUUUUAAACAAAAUGCAAAUCGCA